rnacentral:rRNA from 1 species
GACGAACGCUGGCGGCGUGCCUAAUACAUGCAAGUUGAGCGCUGAAGGUUGGUACUUGUACCAACUGGAUGAGCAGCGAACGGGUGAGUAACGCGUGGGGAAUCUGCCUUUGAGCGGGGGACAACAUUUGGAAACGAAUGCUAAUACCGCAUAAAAACUUUAAACACAAGUUUUAAGUUUGAAAGAUGCAAUUGCAUCACUCAAAGAUGAUCCCGCGUUGUAUUAGCUAGUUGGUGAGGUAAAGGCUCACCAAGGCGAUGAUACAUAGCCGACCUGAGAGGGUGAUCGGCCACAUUGGGACUGAGACACGGCCCAAACUCCUACGGGAGGCAGCAGUAGGGAAUCUUCGGCAAUGGACGAAAGUCUGACCGAGCAACGCCGCGUGAGUGAAGAGGGGUUUCGGAUCGUAAAACUCUGUUGGUAGAGAAGAACGUUGGUGAGAGUGGAAAGCUCAUCAAGUGACGGUAACUACACAGAAAGGGACGGCUAACUACGUG